rnacentral:rRNA from 1 species
AUCCCAGCUUGCUGGGGGAUUAGUGGCGAACGGGUGAGUAACACGUGAGUAACCUGCCCUUGACUCUGGGAUAAGCCUGGGAAACUGGGUCUAAUACCGGAUACGACCAUUCCACGCAUGUGGUGGUGGUGGAAAGCUUUUGUGGUUUUGGAUGGACUCGCGGCCUAUCAGCUUGUUGGUGGGGUAAUGGCCUACCAAGGCGACGACGGGUAGCCGGCCUGAGAGGGUGACCGGCCACACUGGGACUGAGACACGGCCCAGACUCCUACGGGAGGCAGCAGUGGGGAAUAUUGCACAAUGGGCGCAAGCCUGAUGCAGCGACGCCGCGUGAGGGAUGACGGCCUUCGGGUUGUAAACCUCUUUCAGUAGGGAAGAAGCGUAAGUGACGGUACCUGCAGAAGAAGCGCCGGCUAACUACGUGCCAGCAGCCGCGGUAAUACGUAGGGCGCAAGCGUUAUCCGGAAUUAUUGGGCGUAAAGAGCUCGUAGGCGGUUUGUCGCGUCUGCUGUGAAAGACCGGGGCUCAACUCCGGUUCUGCAGUGGGUACGGGCAGACUAGAGUGCAGUAGGGGAGACUGGAAUUCCUGGUGUAGCGGUGAAAUGCGCAGAUAUCAGGAGGAACACCGAUGGCGAAGGCAGGUCUCUGGGCUGUAACUGACGCUGAGGAGCGAAAGCAUGGGGAGCGAACAGGAUUAGAUACCCUGGUAGUCCAUGCCGUAAACGUUGGGCACUAGGUGUGGGGGACAUUCCACGUUUUCCGCGCCGUAGCUAACGCAUUAAGUGCCCCGCCUGGGGAGUACGGCCGCAAGGCUAAAACUCAAAGGAAUUGACGGGGGCCCGCACAAGCGGCGGAGCAUGCGGAUUAAUUCGAUGCAACGCGAAGAACCUUACCAAGGCUUGACAUGAACCGGAAAGACCUGGAAACAGGUGCCCCGCUUGCGGUCGGUUUACAGGUGGUGCAUGGUUGUCGUCAGCUCGUGUCGUGAGAUGUUGGGUUAAGUCCCGCAACGAGCGCAACCCUCGUUCUAUGUUGCCAGCGCGUGAUGGCGGGGACUCAUAGGAGACUGCCGGGGUCAACUCGGAGGAAGGUGGGGACGACGUCAAAUCAUCAUGCCCCUUAUGUCUUGGGCUUCACGCAUGCUACAAUGGCCGGUACAAAGGGUUGCGAUACUGUGAGGUGGAGCUAAUCCCAAAAAGCCGGUCUCAGUUCGGAUUGGGGUCUGCAACUCGACCCCAUGAAGUCGGAGUCGCUAG